rnacentral:lncRNA from 1 species
CUCAAUAAAUAUAAGCUACUAUGGUGCCCUUUUCCAGAUGAAUGAGGUAAUGUGAGCAGGAAUACAGGUGGCAGAGGCAGACUCAGAACCCAGAUCUAACUUAUUCUAGAGGCUGAGUUAGGUCUUGGCCACAAUGUUAAUUUUCUUGAUAUAUUUGAGAGAUGGAGAUACAAAAGGAGCAGGCCAACCUAUGCCAAUUUACCAACAAGCAAGUUUCAUGAGAACCACUCUACCAGAUGAGAGAAUAGUUUAGUUCAUACUGCGGUAUUGUCUGACAAAACGCAGAGGUCAAGUGGAUGACUCAUAGCAUGGCCAACAUCACUCAGCUACAGCUGCGGAUCUGUAGCAUGUUCUCACUGGCCAAAAGACUGCUGAUUCAGGCAAAUCUUCUGUGGGCUGGAUUAUGUGAGAAAGAAAGUGUCCAUUUUUGGGUCUCUGGAAGGAAAAGGAGACUCAGUUUUUAAGGGAAUUAAGAGGAAACAAGGCAAAAAAAUAAUUUCUUUCACAAAAAAAAAUAAAUAAAAGGGUGUGCUAUAUCCA